UCCAAGCUCCGUGCCCAUACACACCAUAUGUGAAUACUGCCAAUUCUCCACUUUUCCUUUAUGAAAGUGAAUCGAGCACCUUCUCAAGACGGCAGACAAUUGCUGAGCUCGGAUACCUCUCAAGUAAACAAGCUUUGUCAGAAGACACAGUCUGGACCAAUCCAAUGUUCUGUUGUUUUUUUGAGGAUGCACACUUAUUGUUUACCUUGUACAAAUUGUAAAUAUAUUGGUGAAAUGUG